rnacentral:rRNA from 1 species
AUGGCCGCCCCUCACCGUGCUUUCCCCGAUCCGCCGCCGAUGGCCGCCUUCCGUUCUGGCCGACACGCUGCCCACCUCCGCCUGGCCGUACCACCGCGGCUCGCCGCCCACCCUUCCUUCCGCUUCCCCACCACGCCCCUCCCCACCCCAUCCAAGACGCGCCUCCCCGCCGCCGGCGCCGCUUCUCCCUACGCCGCCGCGCUCCUGCGCAUCCUCGCGCUCCACUCCCUCUUCCUUCUCGCGCCCGCCGCCCGAGCGCUCCCCUCCCUGCCCCACCUCUUCCUGCUUCCGCCGGUCCUCGCCAUCAUCUCCGCCGUCGCCAUCCUCCUCAUCCCCUCCAAGAGCCAACCCCACCCCUUCCCGGCGCUCCGCCACCUCUUCCGUCCCGCCCUCCUGCUAGCGGCGUCCCUUCUCCUCCGACUCGCCUCCCUCCACCUCAUCACCGACCCCGGUCUCAUCGUCCUCGCAGAUUCCGCCGGCGCGUUGCUCGCCCGCGCCCUCAACCGUCCCUCCCGCCGCCGCGUGAUCUCCGUCGCUGCCGCCUCCGUUUCGCUCGCGGCCGCAUCACCUUCCCACUCCGUGCUUCUUCUCGUGCUCCCCUUUGCUUCCGGCCUCCUCUCCUCGGUCGAGCACUCUGUAUCUGCGCGACAUGUCACCCGCAGCCGCCACGCCCGUGCGGCCGUUUUUGCCCUCGCCGCCACCUUCCUCUCGGCGCCGGCACUUGCGGGCCUCUUCUUUCUUGGUGGCACUGACACCAGCGAUGGUGUCCCGAUUGGCCAGCUCUGGUGGCUGCUCCUUAAUGCCGCUGUCUUUGGCAUGGCCUUGGGGCGACGGCAAGCCUACGACAGCAGUAGCAGUAGCAGCAGACCAAGCAUGAAUUUUGCAAUGACCUUUGUGUGCACUAUUGUUCUGGAGCUGGUGUACUACCCAAAGCUGUCGUUGCCGGGCUUCUUAAUUUGUGGGUUCGUCUUGUGGAUCGCCAGCAGGGAGCUGACUUCUUCAGGAUAUGUUGAGCUUGGGAGCACUGACGAGUCGGUGUAUGAGGCUGUCAUGGGGCCAGUCCGGCAUAUCCUUAGUGAACGCAAAUCCAGGAAGAUUGCUGCUUUUCUGUUGAUCAACACAGCUUACAUGUUUGUUGAGUUCGCCAGCGGUUUCAUGAGCGAUAGCCUUGGGCUGCUCUCUGACGCUUGCCAUAUGUUGUUUGAUUGUGCUGCUCUGGCAAUUGGGCUAUAUGCAUCGUACAUUGCGAGGCUACCUGCAAAUGGAUUGUAUAACUAUGGAAGGGGCAGGUUCGAGGUGCUAUCUGGGUAUGUUAAUGCAGUGUUCUUGGUGCUUGUUGGGGCCCUGAUUGUGUUGGAGUCGUUUGAGAGGAUACUCGAGCCUCGGGAGAUAUCAACAAGUAGCCUUUUGGCAGUUUCUGUUGGUGGACUUUUUGUAAAUAUCAUUGGAUUGGUUUUCUUUCAUGAGGAGCACCAUCAUGCGCAUGGCGGUAGCUGUUCCCACUCUCAUUCACAUUCUCAUAAUCAUGGUCAUGAAGAUCACCAUCACCAUCAUGAUCAUGUUCAUCAGACUGCUGAUCACGAGAAGACAUGUUCCGGUCAUCAUGGAGACACAAAUAAGAGCCAUCAUCAGAAUCACCAACAUGAUAGCAACAAUGCAGAGAAUCAUCAUCAACAUAACCAUGGCUGUAGCCACAAGCAUGGUCACAAUGGCCACAUGGAACAUCACCAGCAGGGUGUAGAUCAGGCUCAUCAAGAUUGCAGCAGCAUCAGCAGCGAGCAAGGACUUCUUGAGAUUCCACUGAUAAAUGUUCACUCUCAUGGCGCAGAAUCUCAGUCUUGUAAUGGAGAAGUUGAAUCGCCAGAAAUCGGAAACCAUGGCAAGACAGCAAGUCGGCGUCACAUUGACCAUAACAUGGAAGGUAUCUUCUUACAUGUCCUAGCUGACACAAUGGGAAGUGUCGGUGUUGUGAUCUCGACCCUACUAAUCAAGUACAAGGGAUGGCUAAUAGCAGAUCCCAUUUGCUCUGUAUUCAUUUCAAUAAUGAUUGUGGCUUCUGUCCUUCCAUUGUUGAGAAAUUCUGCUGAAAUUUUGUUGCAAAGAGUUCCAAGGAGCCAUGAGAAGGACUUCGAAGCAGCACUGGAUGAUGUUAAGAAGAUUAAUGGUGUGAUUGGAGUCCAUAAUGUUCAUUUAUGGAACUUGACAAACACCGAUAUUGUAGGCACUUUUCAUCUUCAUAUAUCAGCCGAAGCUGAUAAGUCUGUUACAAGAGAAAGUGCUUCACGGAUAUUUCAAGAAGCUGGGGUUCAAGAUUUGACUAUCCAGAUUGAAUGUGUCGAAAGAUAG